CAAAGAUUAAGCCAUGCAUGUCUAAGUAUAAACAAGUUUAUACCGUGAAACUGCGAAUGGCUCAUUAAAUCAGUUAUAAUUUAUUUGAUAUUCACUUACUACUUGGAUAACCGUGGUAAUUCUAGAGCUAAUACAUGCGUACAUAACCUCGACUUCUGGAAGAGGUGCACUUAUUAGAUAAAAAGCCAACGCGGGCAACCGCUUGUAUGGUGAUUCAUAAUAAUUAAUCGAAUCGCAUGGCCUUGUGCCGGCGAUGAUGCAUUCAAAUUUCUGCCCUAUCAAGUUUCGAUGGUAGGUUAGUGGCCUACCAUGCUUUUAACGGGUAACGGGGAAUUAGGGUUCGAUUCCGGAGAGGGAGCCUGAGAAACGGCUACCACAUCCAAGGAAGGCAGCAGGCGCGCAAAUUACCCAAUCCCGACACGGGGAGGUAGUGACAAUAAAUAACAAUACAGGGCCUUUACGGGUCUUGUAAUUGGAAUGAGUACAAUUUAAAUCCCUUAACGAGGAACAAUUGGAGGGCAAGUCUGGUGCCAGCAGCCGCGGUAAUUCCAGCUCCAAUAGCGUAUAUUAAAGUUGUUGCAGUUAAAAAGCUCGUAGUUGAAUUUUGGCCUUGGUUUGUGAGGUUCGGCCUUCACUGGUCGGUACCUUUACGAACCGGGCUCCACCUUCUGGGUUAGCCAGUUGUUACUUCGGUGCAGCUGGUGAACCAGAACUUUUACUUUGAAAAAAUUGGAGUGUUUAAAGCAGGCUUUCAAGCUUGAACAUAUUAGCAUGGAAUAAUGAAAUAGGACUUUGGCCUUAUUUCGUUGGUUUCUAAAGCCAAAGUAAUGAUGAAUAGGGAUAGUUGGGGACAUUAGUAUUCAAUUGUCAGAGGUGAAAUUCUUGGAUUUAUUGAAGACUAACUUCUGCGAAAGCAUUUGUCAAGGAUGUUUUCAUUAAUCAAGAACGAAAGUUAGGGGAUCGAAGACGAUCAGAUACCGUCGUAGUCUUAACCAUAAACUAUGCCGACUAAGGAUCGGAUGGUGUUAUAUUUUAUAUUGACCCAUUCGGCAUUUCAGCGAAAGCCAAGUUUUUGGGUUCCGGGGGGAGUAUGGUCGCAAGGCUGAAACUUAAAGG
rnacentral:rRNA from 2 species